GUGCUCGCUUCAGCAGCACAUAUAAUAUAAUUGGAAUAACACAGAGAAGAUUAGCAUGGCCUUUGCACAAGGAUGACACACAAAUUCAUUAAGUGUUCCAUAUUAAA
rnacentral:snRNA from 1 species